UACGGAGGGUGCAAGCGUUAUCCGGAUUCACUGGGUUUAAAGGGUGCGUAGGUGGGUUGGUAAGUCAGUGGUGAAAUCUCCGAGCUUAACUUGGAAACUGCCAUUGAUACUAUCAGUCUUGAAUAUUGUGGAGGUCAGCGGAAUAUGUCAUGUAGCGGUGAAAUGCUUAGAUAUGACAUAGAACACCCAUUGCGAAGGCAGCUUACUACACGAUCAUUGACGCUGAGGCACGAAAGCGUGGGGAGCAAACAGG
rnacentral:rRNA from 1 species